rnacentral:misc_RNA from 1 species
AAAGUCGUAACAAGGUUUCCGUAGGUGAACCUGCGGAAGGAUCAUUAAUGAUUCUCAAAGGAUGUGCUGGCAAUUUAUAAUUGCAUGUGCACUCUGACUCUCAUUCACCUGUGCACACUCUGUAGACAAUGGAUAGUAAUGCUAUUUAUUGUCUAUGAUUUUUAUACACUCUAAUAAAUAAAAUUGAAUGCUUCAUAAAAUUAAUACAACUUUCAACAACGGAUCUCUUGGUUCUC